rnacentral:rRNA from 1 species
CCUACGGGUGGCAGCAGUGAGGAAUAUUGGUCAAUGAGCGGGAGCCUGAACCAGCCAAGCCGCGUGAGGGAAGAAGGUACAGCGUAUCGUAAACCUCUUUUGUGAGGGAACAAAGGCGGGGACUAGUCCCCGGAGGAGGGUACCUGAAGAAAAAGAAUCGGCUAAAUCCGUGCCAGCAGCCGCGGUAAUACGGAGGAUGCGAGCGUUAUCCGGAUGUAUUGGGUUUAAAGGGGGAGCAGGCGGCCUGUAAAGUCAGCGGUAAAAGCCCGGGGCUCAACACCGGCGAGCCGUUGAAACUGGCGGGCUGGAGUUGGAGAGAAGUCCGCGGAAUGCGCGGUGUGGCGGUGAAAUGCUGAG